UGUUUCGGCAAGGGGGUCAUCCCGACUUACCAACCCGAUGCAAACUGCGAAUACCGGAGAAUGUUAUCACGGGAGACACACGGCGGGUGCUAACGUCCGUCGUGAAGAGGGAAACAACCCAGACCGCCAGCUAAGGUCCCAAAGUCAUGGUUAAGUGGGAAACGAUGUGGGAAGGCCCAGACAGCCAGGAUGUUGGCUUAGAAGCAGCCAUCAUUUAAAGAAAGCGUAAUAGCUCACUGGUCGAGUCGGCCUGCGCGGAAGAUGUAACGGGGCUAAACCAUGCACCGAAGCUGCGGCAGCGACACUAUGUGUUGUUGGGUAGGGGAGCGUUCUGUAAGCCUGUGAAGGUGUACUGUGAGGUAUGCUGGAGGUAUCAGAAGUGCGAAUGCUGACAUAAGUAACGAUAAAGCGGGUGAAAAGCCCGCUCGCCGGAAGACCAAGGGUUCCUGUCCAACGUUAAUCGGGGCAGGGUGAGUCGACCCCUAAGGCGAGGCCGAAAGGCGUAGUCGAUGGGAAACAGGUUAAUAUUCCUGUACUUGGUGUUACUGCGAAGGGGGGACGGAGAAGGCUAUGUUGGCCGGGCGACGGUUGUCCCGGUUUAAGCGUGUAGGCUGGUUUUCCAGGCAAAUCCGGAAAAUCAAGGCUGAGGCGUGAUGACGAGGCACUACGGUGCUGAAGCAACAAAUGCCCUGCUUCCAGGAAAAGCCUCUAAGCAUCAGGUAACAUCAAAUCGUACCCCAAACCGACACAGGUGGUCAGGUAGAGAAUACCAAGGCGCUUGAGAGAACUCGGGUGAAGGAACUAGGCAAAAUGGUGCCGUAACUUCGGGAGAAGGCACGCUGAUAUGUAGGUGAAGUCCCUCGCGGAUGGAGCUGAAAUCAGUCGAAGAUACCAGCUGGCUGCAACUGUUUAUUAAAAACACAGCACUGUGCAAACACGAAAGUGGACGUAUACGGUGUGACGCCUGCCCGGUGCCGGAAGGUUAAUUGAUGGGGUCAGCGCAAGCGAAGCUCUUGAUCGAAGCCCCGGUAAACGGCGGCCGUAACUAUAACGGUCCUAAGGUAGCGAAAUUCCUUGUCGGGUAAGUUCCGACCUGCACGAAUGGCGUAAUGAUGGCCAGGCUGUCUCCACCCGAGACUCAGUGAAAUUGAACUCGCUGUGAAGAUGCAGUGUACCCGCGGCAAGACGGAAAGACCCCGUGAACCUUUACUAUAGCUUGACACUGAACAUUGAGCCUUGAUGUGUAGGAUAGGUGGGAGGCUUGGAAGUGUGGACGCCAGUCUGCAUGGAGCCGACCUUGAAAUACCACCCUUU
rnacentral:rRNA from 1 species